GAUUCCUCCUGUUCUGCUUUUCCGUUUCUGUUUCUCCCUUUUGGCCCCUCGCUUUAUGAUGUCGCAGCCUCCACGGAGCUCCUCUGUCGUUGGUAAUUGAAGGGAAGAGUUCUGUUCUAAUUUCAUUUGUAUUCGGGAGACGUUUCAAUUUGUCAAAUUUAGUUUGGAAUUUCUAGCAGGCGUCUGACAGGAUAUCAUUGAGCAAGGGGUUGACACAAAUGAGUCAGAGUGACUUAUUUUUGAUUUCCUCUUUGUACUUAAUGGAAAGCUGUAGAUAUUUCUAUGAAAAAUGAAUAAGGGAACUAAUUCAGUAAUAAUUUAUAUAGUUUAAGUGAUAGUUCUAGUGUCAAUAGAACUCUCUUGUACUCUUGAAGAAUACUUGGCUCGUAAUUCUCUGGACACUGUUUGACGCUAAAGAUGAAGCAAUGCGGAAUACACGUGGAAAUGAGUAAAUAGCAAGAGCAAACGAUAUCUAGGCUCGUCGGUGUUUGAUCGUUAAGCGGUCCACGUCGCGUUAUGUAAAAGAAAUGUCGGUAAGAACUAUUUAAUUACAGAAGUCCUAACUCACGCGAGAGUGUCGUAAUGGCUUCUUUAAUCCUGUCUAAGCCUCUUUUUAUAUGCCGCGCGAGUUUCUUAAUUACAGUGUAAAAUAUCACGCGCUAAUCUUCGUUUCUUCUGUUACGGUUCCAACGUCGGAGGACGCCGAGGAGGAUAUACGCUAUUCAAGCUGUGAAGAACGCUUCGGAGGAUAUCCUGAAUCCAAAUGGACGUUUCCACGAAAGCACGCCGAUCGAUCGCUGCCGAACAGUUGGCAGGACGAUCGCUUAAAAAGAAUAUUGCAGCCUGGAAGGUGCGGCGUGCCGAUAAACUGGAUCGAUUCUCCAAAGUCACAAGGAAUUGGAUGCUUCUGCUCAGCUAUGUCCUUCGCCGUUUUCUGUCGCUUUAAAUAUAACAUGGAUAGACUAUAACGCUACAAGAGAGAAAUUCUGCCUCAGCGGCGUCCUUACAAUAAUAUAAUCUCAUUUGGACAUCAAUAUUAAUUACCAGAUCGAUCAUCUCAGCGUCUAUGGUCUCCGAGGUGGAAGCAGACGCACAGACGAGAGGAGCAAGUCGGUAGCGGUGAAAUAAAGCGAAGCGCGCGUCUUCCUCUUCGCUGGACUAAGCGGACGUUCUCGUUUCGAUCUCGUAAAUGCCGACACGAUUAAAAUGCAUUCGACCGCGACGAGCGUGCAUACGAAACGCGUUCCAGGAGGAGAAGGGAAACGAUUAACCGGAGCGCGGCCGUUGUAGAUACAAAAGUUACAAACGUGUAAAAAAUGCUGGUAAAAAAGGAAAAGGAAGAACUGUCAUUUUCCUCCCUGAGCAGGAUCAUAAUACGCAGCCCGACAUCCUCGGGUUGAAGAAACGGACGAAUACCUCGGAACCCAUUCGGAUUGGCACAGAAAUGAAAUUGUUAUACCGGUUGGAACACUUUGUCGUAACGAUAUGUGGCGCGAGGAUGGACUUAAGAGACGGCGGCGCGGAACACGCUUCGAUUCAGGCUUUGUAUUUGUCCGACGAGUUGAUGGCGCAGUAGAGGACCAGCGAGAAUAUCAGGGCAAGCAGUUCCAGGCAAGCUAUCGUCGCUUCCAGGGCUUUGAACAGUAUCUGCAGGUCGGACAGCCAUUUCAUUAUCUCCACUAUGCAGCCCUGCGAUGGAAAAACAAAGAUUUCCAACGUUUAAUCGAGGUCACUCCUUCGCGACGCAUUAGCGCGCUCAUCUGGCCGUGGUUCCACCAAGUGACUCAUGACAUUGUGUGCCUUGGGUCAACGGUGAGACCACUACCAGUAAUGCAGAUGUGACGUAAAGUUCUUAAGUGUCUGAAGUUUUCUGCAGUUCUACUUUAUGGGACAGAUGAAUACUAGGAUUACCUCGGGCCAAAUCGCAGGGUUGAUCUUGUCCCCAACUUUAAUAUACAAGGCUGCGUUGCAGGCCUCGCUGCCCUCCUCUUUGCAACAGGAUUCUGGUAGUUUGUACAGGUUGUUUAUAUCCUCGGAAACGGUCAGACUGACUGGAGUCGAAGGAUCUUUGCUGGAGUAUUGACUGCCAAUCCAGUCGGAUGGACCAGUAGCUCCGCAGCAUUUGAUUCCACCCUGGAUCGCGUCUAUUAUCUCUGUGGAGCUGUCGUUGAUGGAAUACUUGUUCUGAAAAAGAUAUUCCAUUAUGUAGGCUUCUGUGAGAGUAAUUGGACACUUCAUUUUUACAGGGUAUGGACAGGCACAUCAUCUAACUUAGGAAGAUGGAUGGUUUAACCCUUUGAUUGGUUUCUCACUUUAUGGUUCACAUCGAUGUUCAUUCAAUUGCAGCUUAAUAUGGCGCUUUAUUUAUUCAAGAAUAUUUGGGAGUCAUUGGAAUGUUACCUUUAAAUGGUACAAUUGUGAUACUAUAAAUAAGUAUAGAAAAAAUUGUUAAAACGAGUCUGACUCGACAUAGGACUGCUAAGGGUUAAUCCAUAGGUAUAAUAAUAGUAUUAAUUAACCUCGAGUAACCGUACCUUGAUCGUAUCUAUCAUGGACGUUUUAGCC